rnacentral:lncRNA from 1 species
CAUUAUCUGUUGCACCUUAUCCUUCUACUGGAGAGUCUCCCUGUGACAUUAUCUGUUGCACCUUAUCCUUGUACUGGAGAGUCUCCCUGUGACAUUAUCUGUUGCACCUUAUCCUUGUACUGGAGAGUCUCCCUGUGACAUUAUCUGUUGCACCUUAUCCUUGUACUGGAGAGUCUCCCUGUGACAUUAUCUGUUGCACCUUAUCCUUGUACUGGAGAGUCUCCCUGUGACAUUAUCUGUUGCACCUUAUCCUUGUACUGGAGAGUCUCCCUGUGACAUUAUCUGUUGCACCUUAUACUUGUACUGCAGAGUCUCCCUGUGACAUUAUCUGUUGCACCUUAUCCUUGUACUGGCAUCUCACCUUUUUUAUCUCUUUCUUCAUCUCUCUCUGUACCUCUUUUCUUUCGAGUGGAUUUCCUGAGGCAAACACUUGUUUCUUCUUGUUAAGUACCAACAAUUCGUUCACUGCUCAAUGCAAAUGCACAAAGAAAGACUCAUCUGGGUCUAAACUUCAAAUUCCAAAGUGUCAAGUCAACAUGACAGUCUGCACAAGCACUUCAAUUUAACCACUCAAAUGACAGCCCAGUCUUCAAAGACAGUGCUGUCCCUGAACUCUGAGGCGGUGUUCUCACUCAAAGAUGGCAUCAACUUUAAGAAAAUGGAGAGCUGAAGGCCUGCAAGAACCAAUGCAAACACCAAGGAGGCCUGUUCAUCAAAGACAUAGAGGACUUAGAUGGAAGGACGGUCCGAUGUACAAAACACUACUGGAAGCUGAACGUCUCAACUAUGCAGUAUGUGAACCCUCCCAACAGCUUCACACAGGAUGAGCUGGCAGGUGGACAAUGUAGGGCACUUCCUUCUGCCUGAGCUGCAGCUUUUUCGGAUUCAGCUUGAUAUUGAGCUUCCUGCAUCUGUCCAGGAGCAUUUUCAGGUUUUUGUCAUGGUCCAGAGUCGCCGCUUCAUCGUUGUCUCCUUCUCCCACAAUCAGGAUGUCCUCUGCAAUGAUUUUGACUACUGGAAGACCUUCCAUUGCCUGGUUCAACUUCCUCUGAAAGAUCUCUGGGGCUGGACUGAUUCCCAUUGGCAUGCACAGCCACCUGUAGCGUCCCGUGGGAGUAGAGAACGUGGUGAGAUAGCUGGAUUUCUCCUCCAGUUCCACAUGCCAAAAUCCGUUUUUUACAUCACAGAGAACACGCGUGCUCUGUUCAGAUCUGACAGCACGUCUUCAAUUGUCUCCUCUUGAGCACCUUGUUGAGAGGUUUCGGAUCAAUACACACUGUUAGUUUUCCAGAUGGUUUCUUCACUAAGAUCAGGCUGCUAAUCAAAUCUGUGCAUUUUUCAACUGCUUUUAUCAUCCUUCUUUUCUCAAAAAAUAAAUAAAUAAAAUAGACCACUGAGCUCCUCUUUGAGUGGUUUAUAUAGUGCUACUGGCACUCUUCUCUUUGGCAGCUGGACGGGCUCCACUCGCUCAUCCACUUCCAGCUUCAGUUUGCCGGGUAAGCAUCCAUCUCCCUGAAAUACAUCAGAGUACUCCUGUUUAAUUUGCUCUUUAGUCCAGGAUCCUGUUGUUUUCUCGAUGGCCAGGAUGUUGUGAUGCUGCACAUUAAUCAACUCCAUUGCCUGGAUAGCCUUACUGCCUAGAAUGGGCCUGUGCACAUUCUUGUUGAAUACGAUGAACUCAACUCGGUAGGUUUUCUUAUUGCGUGGAUUGAUCACUUUAAGUGUGCACUUCCCCAGUGGCGUCAGAGUACUCUUGUUAUACAUCAACAAUACCUGACUGCAGGGUUCAAGGUGACUGGCUUUUAUGGGGUUUGCAGGAAUAACAUUAGCACCACAAUCUAGCUGAAAUCUGACUGACUUUUUGUUGACCAGCAUGAUUGUAAAGAGAGCUGCAUUAGGCACUGUGGUUUUCUCCUGCACCACGUUGAUGCUCUCUGACUUUGGCCCUAAUGUGAUGCAGAGAACAUCCUCACCGCUCUCUCAACAGAGAGAUUGUCUUUUGUACUGACCACACAUAGGGUCUCACAAAUCUCUCUGCCUUUUUCCUCAAUGAGAUAAUACAGUAGCUUCACUUUGUAAUCCUCAGGUUUUUCUCUCAUUGUAAGAGCCAUGUACAAAUUGAAUUCCUCUUUCCAUCUUUUCCAGGUCAGUGCUAAAUUACAAUCAUCAUAGUACAUUUUUCACAGAGGUUUCAGUGCAUUUUCCAUGGUGAUUUAUUUGUAGAAUGGAAUGUUAGCUACUCACAAAUCUUUUUGUAUCCAAUAGCCAGCUAGCUUUUAGCAUAGAGUCACUCACGAUAGCCAGCUAACGUUGACGUUCGGUGCGAUGACUAGCCUGUAAAUGCGGCACUUUUUCAAACUGCCGCCUGGGAUGUAUUCUUCACUGACAUCGAUGAGAUCCAGGUUCUUUUAAGUACCGUUAUCACCCUGUUUCAAUAUGCUUUGUGUUGUAGUCACGACAGACAAAGAUAUAAAGUUAAGCAAACUUUACUAGGCAUGUUGUCAACAAGCACAUUAAUAAAGUAAGUAACAACUGGUUUCCGUUUCCUGUGUAACAUCAAUAUUGCUACAAUAACUACGAAGCAGCUCUCCAAACAUACUCCCAGCAGAACCAAAAAAAGUCACUUUUGUUUCCCGGACAAUGACCGGCCCGUCAUGGGAUCCUGUAACAGCUUGUCUGUUGUGUGGCGGAAAGAAGCGCAGGAAGCAGCGAACACUGUGUGGUAAUUGUAAUAAACCACAAGCACAAAAUAAAAGGUUUCCCAACAACAGGGAAAAUACACUCGACAAGCACAGUCGAACAAAACGCAGUCGACACACAGAAAGACAAUCCCGCACAAUAGGGAGCGGACCAGCUGAACUAAAUAGCCCUCUUAAUGACUAACUCAGGGCAGGUGAGAAAACAUAAAAAAAGGGAAAAACAAAAAGGGAAUCGGUUGUAGCUAAUAGGCCGGUGACGACGACCGCCGAGCGCCACCCGAGCAGGAGGGGGCGCCACCGUCGGUAGGAAUCGUGACAGUACCCCCCUCCUGACGCGCGGCUCCAGCAGCGCGCCGACACCGGCCUCGAGGCCGACCCGGAGGACGAGACGCAGGGCGAUCCGGACGGUGGCGGUGGAACUCCUUCAACAUGGAUGGGUCCAAGACGUCCUCCGCCGGCACCCAGCACCUCUCCUCCGGACCGUACCCCUCCCAGUCCACGAGGUACUGCAGGCCCCCCGCCCAGCGUCUCGAGUCCAGAAUGGCCCUUACGCUGUACGCCGGGGACCCCCCGAUGUCCAGGGGGGGGGUGGAGGGACCUCCGGCACCUCAUCUUCUUGUAGGGGACCAGCCACCACCGGCCUGAGGAGAG